GAUGAACGCUGGCGGCGUGCUUAACACAUGCAAGUCGAACGGAGCUAUGACACGGAGUCUUCGGAUGAAGUGCUGUAGCUUAGUGGCGGACGGGUGAGUAACACGUGAGCAACCUACCUUUUGCAGGGGAAUAACUCUGGGAAACCAGGGCUAAUACCGCAUGCCGUGCGCUUGGGGCAUCCCAGGUGCAUGAAAGGAGCAAUCCGGCAGAAGAUGGGCUCGCGUCCGAUUAGGUAGUUGGAGAGGUAACGGCUCCCCAAGCCGACGAUCGGUAGCCGGACUGAGAGGUCGAUCGGCCACAUUGGGACUGAGACACGGCCCAGACUCCUACGGGAGGCAGCAGUGGGGAAUAUUGGGCAAUGGGCGGAAGCCUGACCCAGCGACGCCGCGUGAAGGAGGAAGGCUUUCGAGUUGUAAACUUCUUUGGGGAGGGACGAAGAUGACGGUACCUCCAGAACAAGCCACGGCUAACUACGUG
rnacentral:rRNA from 1 species